GUUGAUCUGGUCUAUACGACAUUAACAUACAAAUUUUUGGGCUUUACUCGUUCAUAAUGGGGGCUAAUCUUUAUAAAGUGAAGCAGGGUUAUCACGGCGGUUGUUACAACUUUGCACGGAUUCUGUACAUUUUAUAAAUAUGCUUACCACCUGUAAGAAUACAGGCGACCAAAAAUUUCGUUAAAUCGGUAGAUUGGAUCUUUU
rnacentral:other from 1 species